CAAAUACUCCCUCCGUCCGGAAAUACUCGUCGGAGAAAUGCAUAAAAAUGGAUGUAUCUAAAAUUAAAAUACGUCUAGAUACAUCCAUUCCUCCGACAAAUAUUUCCGGAUGGAGUGAGUAUAUU
rnacentral:pre_miRNA from 1 species